UACGAAGGGGGCUAGCGUUGUUCGGAAUUACUGGGCGUAAAGCGCACGUAGGCGGACUUUUAAGUCAGGGGUGAAAUCCCGGGGCUCGACCUCGGAACUGCCUUUGAUACUGGAAGUCUUGAGUAUGGAAGAGGUAAGUGGAAUUGCGAGUGUAGAGGUGAAAUUCGUAGAUAUUCGCAGGAACACCAGUGGCGAAGGCGGCUUACUGGUCCAUUACUGACGCUGAGGUGCGAAAGCGUGGGGAUCAAACAGG
rnacentral:rRNA from 1 species